ACUGCCUGUGUUUGAUGACAUUCGGAUGUAGGUCGUGAAGCAAAAUCUCUUUGGCCUUGUAAGGCCUUGGAGAACCUAUUUAAAUAAUUUUUAUACAAAACAUUAUUCAAUAUAUUUUUACUUAGAUGUUUUAAUAUUUACUUAAUAUUUUUAAUGCCGGAAGCAGUUAUUAAACGCACAGCUGUGAUAGCUCCCUGUUGCCUUUAUUUUUUUAUGGAUGAAAGUAGGCUAAUCUUACUUUAAAUGACAGUUCAGCCAAGGUCGUAUUCGUUGAAUAAAUUUGCAAAUCAAAUAUUCUUACUCUCCCCAAAUGAAAAAUUAAUAUGAUGUCUCUGAACAGCAAUAAACGAAAAGGCAGGACAAAUUCAAACAGCAAGUUAGGGAGAUCAAAAUUCUACAAUGAAAAGAAUAUGACUUGCGAUGGCGUAUAUGGGAACUCUCGACUUAUGCAUGCUACAACUUCCUUAGUGGUUUGUAUA